rnacentral:ncRNA from 1 species
GUCCCCUGCCCCUGGAGGAAAGGGGGGGGCGCGGGCGCCUGGGAGGGAGGGUGGGUGAGAGCCCCGUCCGGCCCGGACCCUGUCCGCCCACGAGGCGCGGUCAACGAGUCGGGUUGUUUGGGAAUGCAGCCCAAAUCGGGCGGUAGACUCCGUCCAAGGCUAAAUACAGGCGAGAGACCGAUAGCGAACAAGUACCGCGAGGGAAAGAUGAAAAGGACUUUGAAAAGAGAGUCAA